rnacentral:rRNA from 1 species
GACGUAGGGUGCGAGCGUUGUCCGGAUUUAUUGGGCGUAAAGAGCUUGUAGGCGGUUUGUCGCGUCUGCUGUGAAAUUUCGGGGCUCAACCCCGAACUUGCAGUGGGUACGGGCAGACUAGAGUGUGGUAGGGGAGACUGGAAUUCCUGGUGUAGCGGUGAAAUGCGCAGAUAUCAGGAGGAACACCGAUGGCGAAGGCAGGUCUCUGGGCCAUAACUGACGCUGAGAAGCGAAAGCAUGGGGAGCGAACAGG